rnacentral:lncRNA from 1 species
AUACACCUGCGGGAGAAGGAGAGACAGAGAGGGAAAAUAAGAUGAACACGCGUCACGCGCGCGAACGCGCGUGUGUGGAAUAGCGAUGCUAAAAUCAGCUGUCCCUCGUCCAACGUGCUCGUGUCGUGUACCGUGUCGAUACCGGUUACCAGGCGUUUGAUUGUACAUCUGUGUACAUAUGUGUAUGUGUGCGCGCGCGCGCGCACGCGUGCACCACACGAUCGAUCUCCUCGCGUGUACGUUGGAGAAUCGCGACAAGCGCUAACGUCUACUUUAACCUUUCGACUCGAGUUUGGAUCCGAUUCGAGCGCGGCACUUUGAUGCGAUUCGAUUUAUACUUGACAUUGUCUUCGCGGGAGAAUUUAGAGGAAUACGCGCGAGACCAUGUUGACAGGCAGAAGAAAAGGAAUACCUCGAAGAAGGGUAUUCCCCGCGAAUGAAUACGAUGUGAUACAUGGAGCCAGACUGAUGCGUUCUCAAAGAUAUGGAAGUCUAGAAUUUAAGAAGUUCAUCAUCUUCAGAUUUGAGAUAUCUACGAAGAAGAAAGCUGUUCGUGAAAAAAGUAUGUGCGUACAAUCAGGAAUCCAUCGUCUGGAGACGCUUCCCGUUACGAUAUUACGAUAAGAAUCUUUGAUCAGACCGACGAGAAAGUCUCGUGAUGAUAAGGACGAUUUCGAAGAAUCAUUCCUAAUCGGACCCGGGCACGGGGACUCGAGCGUCACAUAUUGGAUUAAGUGACGACCUUGACGUUAGACGGCCACCUGUGACUGCGUAAUCGCCGUUGUAAAGAGUCUCCCGAUAGACGAGAGAGAGGCUUUCGACACAUCUGAAAAUAAAGCUGUCUGAUCUUUCUCAAUUGUCGACCGCGAGCUCGGGAUCGCAGAGCCGAUUGCAGAGCCGUGCGUCACUUGGAUGACAUGUGACGUAUUGAGAAAUGAGAAAGAGAGAAAAAGAAAGAAAGAAAAGACUAUCGUAUCGUCGUGAACUUCGAUACGCACGCAGCGUAAUCGAGGGGGGCGAUCACUCUGCCUCUUUUAAAACGAUCCGCGAAUGCGCGAUAUUUUGUGAUUUAUUGCAAUCAUGCGUCUGCUCAAAACAGCUCAUAUCUUUAUUACGUAAGCCAUGGAACGCUCGCGAGAAUCUUCAUCAAAAUGAAAUUAAUUAUUUAGCAGACGAACAAGUCUGUUAAUUAAUUUUACGGGUUGUUGCUUGCGAGUUUUAGUAUGUGUUAACAAGAUAAUUAUCCAUUGCGUGCGCAAGUAUUAAAAUACGAGCAAUAAUUACGAACAAUCUGAUCAGUAAGAAAUUUGAGAAAUCAAAAUUUAUAAAAAUUAAUUCAUGAUUGAUUACUCUCAGGACCUGCGAGUUUGCAAUUGAUUUGUUGGCUGUCCCUGAUAAUCGGAAUGUAUAUGUGUGUGAUAUCUAAAUAGAAAUAUUUAAAUACAACGAUCCUUUAUAUAAUGUUUGAGUAUUUCGUACAUUGAUCACAGACACGGAGGAUUCUACGUAUUGAUGUUGAUUAUACAGCACGUAACAUAAAUGUAUUUAUUCAUUUGUUGCACGUGCAUAAAUAACAGAAAGAGAAAGAGAAAUCAUCUCCUAAAACUUUGGGAAAGAACGUUAUUCGGACUUAUUCGCGCGUGCAUUCAAUAUAAAAAUAAAUCCGCGCAGAAAUAAGCGUGACGUGCCAACAUUUGGUACUGUUCUUAGCAGCACACCCUUUACCGGAUUUAUUAUACUUUAAACAUUCGGUAGCUUAUUAUUUAAUUAUUAUUAAUUAUUUAAUACAUUAAAAUAAAUCUCUGACAAGUAAUUAUAAAAUUAUUACUAUAUUCUUUCAUCUAUUUUCAUAUACGUAAAAUCAGCAUAAGAAUUUAAAGUAGAUUGUAAUGUAUCAAGCCGCGGUUUACAUAUUCGUGAUAACAAAAAUAUAUUUUAAUUUUCA